rnacentral:tRNA from 5 species
GGGCCCAUGGCUCAGUUGGUAGAGCGCUUCAUUUGCAAUGAAGAGGUCACCAGUUCGAAUCUGGUUGGGUCCACAA